AUGUGUCUUUGGCCACGUUUUCAGCCUGGCCAUGUAUCUGACCACAUGGUCUUAGACUGGUCAGAGAAACCUGCCAGCAGGUUUCAAAGGAAGAAAAUACAUUUCUUUUCUGUCUUGAGGCAUGAACAGGGAGCUCCUGAGAGAGACCUGUGGAGCCAGACUGUAGUAGCCAUAAGACCAAGUAACACAAGUGCUGAGCAACAUGGAGAUUGGAGGCGAUUCUCAGAAAGUAUCAGUGGGGAAAGCACUCUGGACAUCACAGGGGCUUUGGGGAAAAAUCCACACUUUGGAAGGAGCACAGAUAUCACUGAACCAAGCUGCUAUGGAUUUUCAGUUCACGCACAUUAA
rnacentral:lncRNA from 1 species